rnacentral:rRNA from 1 species
AUACGGAGGCUGCAAGCGUUAAUCGGAAUUACUGGGCGUAAAGCGCGCGUAGGCGGUUUGUUAAGCACGCUGUGAAAGCCCUGGGCUCAACCUGGGAACUGCAGUGUGAACUGGCAAGCUAGAGUACAGCAGAGGAGUGUGGAAUUUCCGGUGUAGCGGUGAAAUGCGUAGAUAUCGGAAGGAACACCAGUGGCGAAGGCGACACUCUGGGUUGAUACUGACGCUGAGGUGCGAAAGCGUGGGGAGCAAACAGGAUUAGAUACCCCAGUAGUCC